rnacentral:rRNA from 1 species
GGGCCCGCACAAGCGGUGGAGCAUGUGGUUUAAUUCGAUGAUACGCGAGGAACCUUACCAGGGCUUAAAUGUAAGUUGCAUUAGUUAGAGAUAGCUAUUUCUUCGGACCACUUACAAGGUGCUGCAUGGUUGUCGUCAGCUCGUGCCGUGAGGUGUCAGGUUAAGUCCUAUAACGAGCGCAACCCCUGUUGUUAGUUGCCAGCGAGUAAUGUCGGGAACUCUACGAAACUGCCAGUGCAAACUGUGAGGAAGGUGGGGAUGACGUCAAAUCAUCACGGCCCUUACGUCCUGGCUACACACGUGCUACAAUGGUCGGUACAGAGAGCAGCCACUACGCGAGUAGGAGCG